GGUACCCAGUUCGGAUUGUAGGCUGCAACUCGCCUACAUGAAGUCGGAGUUGCUAGUAAUCGCGGAUCAGAAUGCCGCGGUGAAUGCGUUCCCGGGUCUUGUACACACCGCCCGUCACACCAUGGAAGUUGGGGGCGCCCGAAGUUGCCUAAGAAAUAAGGUACCUAAGGCGAAACCAAUGACUGGGGUGAAGUCGUAACAAGGUACC
rnacentral:rRNA from 1 species